AUCGCUUCUCAGCCUUUUGGCUAAGGAUCAAGUGUAGUAUCUGUUUUUAUCAGUUUAAAGAAAGUAAAAUAAGCAUAGUAAAAUAUGCACAACAUCACUUAUCAAUAGGAAUUUCAAAUCAAAACUAUAAUGGGACACCAUCU
rnacentral:snRNA from 1 species